rnacentral:rRNA from 1 species
AGUGAACGCUGGCGGUAGGCCUAACACAUGCAAGUCGAACGGCAGCACAGUAAGAGCUUGCUCUUACGGGUGGCGAGUGGCGGACGGGUGAGGAAUACAUCGGAAUCUACUUUUUCGUGGGGGAUAACGUAGGGAAACUUACGCUAAUACCGCAUACGACCUACGGGUGAAAGCAGGGGAUCUUCGGACCUUGCGUGAUUGAAUGAGCCGAUGUCGGAUUAGCUAGUUGGCGGGGUAAAGGCCCACCAAGGCGACGAUCCGUAGCUGGUCUGAGAGGAUGAUCAGCCACACUGGAACUGAGACACGGUCCAGACUCCUACGGGAGGCAGCAGUGGGGAAUAUUGGACAAUGGGCGCAAGCCUGAUCCAGCCAUACCGCGUGGGUGAAGAAGGCCUUCGGGUUGUAAAGCCCUUUUGUUGGGAAAGAAAAGCAGCAGGUUAAUACCCCGCCGUUCUGACGGUACCCAAAGAAUAAGCACCGGCUAACUUCGUG